CGAAGCUUCUGAGCCUCUUUCCUUGCUGGGAUAAUGGGGAGGUUGAACUAUAGGGUUUUUGGAGUCUUUUCUAGUUCUAAAGUUCUAUGAUUUGAUAUAUUAGUCUCCUCUACUGUUACCAAAGUUUUUGUAUGUGUAUACCCUCUCCAAAGGAGGGGUAGUAUGUCUUAUUGUAAGGAAGUCACCAGGGACAAUGGGAAUGUGUUGUUAGACGAUUUUUCACUCUCUGUUGAGGCCAUGAGGGAUGACAAGUGGUUAAUACUGGGACAGGAAAUGCAGCAGGCUUGGACCAGGAAGUCAGGGACUUCCUCUCCUCUCUGGGAACCUAAUCUGAUUGCUCAUGGAAGAAGCCUGACUUUGGGUGUCUUUUGUGGCUACUCUGGAACAUCUACUGACCUGAUCACACAAGUUCCAUGGCAUUCCUCAGCAGGGGAGGAUUUUUGGUAUGUGGACAUUUCCCUGAAGAUCUGUAAUACUGGUGUCUGAGGCACUGGACGUUGACGACGCACUGCGAGAGAGGAGUGCUCUCAUCCUCCUUGCACUCUCAGAAACUACUGCCAACUGGGCAGUGAACCUCGGACUCAAUGGUGAUUCCCUAAGACAUAGGGCUGGUACUGGACUGCUGGCUUUGGUGGCAAGGUGGCCACAAUCUCAAUCUCAACUCUUUCUGCCUUGGACCUCAGCUACUGUUGCAGUUCUUUUGGCUGAAGAAUUUGACGGACUCCCUGUUUUCAACUGUUCUACAGUGAAACCACAGCUGCAACAAUGGUGGUAGAGAAUGGUUUCUUCUGGCAGACAAAGGGAUUUUCUUUGAAGUGAUUUAGGUCUUCAGAUUCAGAAUGGAACUUACACUACUGGUUUUCCUGGGUCUCCCCCUUGCAGACGGCAGAUAUUGAGACAGCUUCCAUAUCAGACCUGAACAGUGGAGGCGUGUCUGAAGAGGCGUGGGAUUGGGGAUCCUGAAGGUGAGCAUAUUAGAAUCCGAGGUCUGGGAGCUGAUUUCACGAGAGACUGGAAUGAAGAUGUGGGAGUCGUGAGCAAGCUUCAACCAAAUGGAUGAGGACAAUACCUAGGAGACAGAGGAGCAGUCAGAUAGAAGGGACCUGGGUGCCUGCAUGGCUGUGUGGAACAGAGCUGCCUACUGCUCUGGACAAUCUACAAGCUCAGAUUCACACGAAAGUAAAAUAAACCUAUCUUGUCUAAGCCUCUACUAUUUGGUCCCCAUUAAAGCCUCCAAAUCAAUAUUGUAACUGAUACAUGUAUACAAUACUGAAAGAAAAGUUUCACAAAACAGUAUCCUUACAAUAGGAGUCAGUCUCUGACAUUUUCUACUCUAUUCUAUUCAUUUUUUUAAAAUGCUGAUCCCAAUCUAUUAAAUUGAUUUCAUUAUCCAUUAAUGGGUGGCACUUGUAGUACAAAAACCACAAAGGUGGAUCCCAUGAAAUUGUUCUUUUAUAGAUCAGAUGUGCUCAAAUAUUG
rnacentral:lncRNA from 1 species